rnacentral:misc_RNA from 1 species
AAGUCGUAACAAGGUUUCCGUAGGUGAACCUGCGGAAGGAUCAUUAACACGUAUCCAACGUAAACCCCCUGUGAACAUUAAGCUUGCUCUCGUGGUUGCUAGAAUUGCAAUCCCUGGUAAAUCAUUGCCGAACAGUUUUGAUUCAGGGACCUCAGUUUUACAACUUCGAUCGAGCGAUCGUUGCAAGCGGCCUGGUUUCCCCAAGCAGUCAGUGUCUGAAAGCGUCAUUGAUUGUGUAAGGAUAGCGCUUCUACGAUUCCUGUAGACCGUACACUCGGGCAGGAGCUUUGCCAAAGGGUCCCCAUGCCCCCUAAUAACCCCACAGUUUAAUGUGAAGCUCAAUGUAAUACAUUGGGUAAAAAAACCGAACAACUGUUAACAAUGGAUAUCUUGGUUCUC